AUUACCGCGGCUGCUGGCACGAGUUUAGCCGGUGCUUUCUCUAGUAGUACCGUCAUCCCUCGUCUGUAUUAGAAACGAGGCUUUCUUCCCACUUAACAGAAGUUUACAAUCCUAAGACCUUCAUCCUCCACGCGGCGUUGCUGCGUCAGGCUUUCGCCCAUUGCGCAAUAUUCCUCACUGCUGCCUCCCGUAGG
rnacentral:rRNA from 1 species